rnacentral:ncRNA from 1 species
AUGUAGUGCACUCGCAAGGGUGAAACUUAAGGGAAUUGGAAGAGGCUCGCACAAGCGAUGGAGCAUGUGGUCUAAUUCGAUGCAACAUGAAGAACCUUACCAGAGCUUGAAAUAUUGUUUUUUAACUUUGUAGUAAAUUUUCAUAAAUAUAUUCAGGUACAUGAGACGCAUGGUUGUCAGCCCGUGUCGUGAGAUGUUGCGUUAAGUCCCGCAACGAGCGCUAUUCAACGUAAAAUAUUUUUAUAGUCUGCCGUUGUUUUUUAUGAAAUAUAGAGGAAGGAAUGAAAACUUCAAGUUUUCAGGACCCUUUUCCUCUAGGCUAUACACUUGCUACAGUGAAAGGUACAAUAAAUUUAAUGCAAGGGGGAAAAUUUUCGGAGUAUAAAUGUAUAUUGAAUAUGCAGACUACUCAAGUCAUCGCUUCUCUGUAUGGAUCUGCCGCAACGAAAUGUAUUUUCCAGGCUAUUGUA